GUGAAUCAUCAAAUUUUUGAACGCAAAUUGCACUCUCUGUGGAGAGUAUGCCUGUUUGAGGGUCAGUAGUAAUAAAAUCGGGGUGUGGCUCUUUGGGGACGCAACGGAGUUUGGGCUACCUUUGACUUUCGGGUGUUAAGAGGCUUAAAAUUGAACUUUUUUGCGCACUUUUAGACGGACAUAAAGUAAUUUUAUCGUCUAUUAUGGUGCC
rnacentral:misc_RNA from 1 species